GUGGUUGUAGCUCAGUUGGUUAGAGCGUCGGUUUGUGGUACCGAAAGUCGUGGGUUCGAGCCCCAUCUUCCACCCA
rnacentral:tRNA from 4 species